AGCGAACGCUGGCGGCGUGCCUAACACAUGCAAGUCGAACGUGAAAGGGAGCAAUCCUGAGUAAAGUGGCGCACGGGUGAGUAACGCGUAGGUAAUCUACCCCAGAGUCUGGAAUAACCUGCCGAAAGGCGGGCUAAUACUGGAUAGAGCGACGGAAUCCGUAAUUGGGUUUUUCGGGAAAGGGAGGAAGUAAUUCCCUUUGCUCUGGGAUGAGCCUGCGUCUCAUUAGCUAGUUGGUGGGGUAACGGCCCACCAAGGCAUUGAUGGGUAGCUGGUCUGAGAGGAUGAUCAGCCACACUGGAACUGAAACACGGUCCAGACUCCUACGGGAGGCAGCAGUGGGGAAUCUUGCGCAAUGGACGAAAGUCUGACGCAGCCACGCCGCGUGAGCGAAGAAGGCCUUCGGGUUGUAAAGCUCUGUCGAGCGGGACGAAAAAUCUAGGAGUGAACAGCUUCUAGAUCUGACGGUACCGCUAAAGGAAGCACCGGCUAACUCCGUGCCAGCCGCCGCCGUAA
rnacentral:rRNA from 1 species